rnacentral:rRNA from 1 species
GAUGAACGCUGGCGGCGUGCCUAAUACAUGCAAGUCGAGCGAACAGACGAGGAGCUUGCUCCUCUGACGUUAGCGGCGGACGGGUGAGUAACACGUGGAUAACCUACCUAUAAGACUGGGAUAACUUCGGGAAACCGGAGCUAAUACCGGAUAAUAUAUUGAACCGCAUGGUUCAAUAGUGAAAGACGGUUUUGCUGUCACUUAUAGAUGGAUCCGCGCCGCAUUAGCUAGUUGGUAAGGUAACGGCUUACCAAGGCGACGAUGCGUAGCCGACCUGAGAGGGUGAUCGGCCACACUGGAACUGAGACACGGUCCAGACUCCUACGGGAGGCAGCAGUUGGGAAUCUUCCGCAAAGGGCGAAAGCCUGACGGAGCAACGCCGCGUGAGUGAUGAAGGUCUUCGGAUCGUAAAACUCUGUUAUUAGGGAAGAACAAAUGUGUAAGUAACUAUGCACGUCUUGACGGUACCUAAUCAGAAAGCCACGGCUAACUACGUG